rnacentral:rRNA from 1 species
AGUGAACGCUGGCGGUAGGCCUAACACAUGCAAGUCGGACGGCAGCACAGUAAGAGCUUGCUCUUACGGGUGGCGAGUGGCGGACGGGUGAGGAAUACAUCGGAAUCUACUUUUUCGUGGGGGAUAACGUAGGGAAACUUACGCUAAUACCGCAUACGACCUACGUGUGAAAGCAGGGGAUCUUCGGACCUUGCGCGAUUGAAUGAGCCGAUGUCGGAUUAGCUAGUUGGCGGGGUAAAGGCCCACCAAGGCGACGAUCCGUAGCUGGUCUGAGAGGAUGAUCAGCCACACUGGAACUGAGACACGGUCCAGACUCCUACGGGAGGCAGCAGUGGGGAAUAUUGGACAAUGGGCGCAAGCCUGAUCCAGCCAUACCGCGUGGGUGAAGAAGGCCUUCGGGUUGUAAAGCCCUUUUGUUGGGAAAGAAAAGCAGCAGGUUAAUACCCCGCUGUUCUGACGGUACCCAAAGAAUAAGCACCGGCUAACUUCGUG